rnacentral:rRNA from 1 species
CGGAUUGGAGUCUGCAACCCGACUCCAUGAAGCUGGAUUCGCUAGUAAUCGCGCAUCAGCCACGGCGCGGUGAAUACGUUCCCGGGCCUUGUACACACCGCCCGUCAAGCCAUGGAAGCCGGGGGUGCCUAAAGUGCGUGACCGCAAGGGACGCCCUAGGGUAAAACCGGUGACUGGGGCUAAGUCGUAACAAGGUACC